GGAAAAAUGGGUGAAAAAGUAGUUGUAAAUAAUUUCAAAAUUCUUGCAGGCAGGAACCAUCACGAUUUUCAUUUAAUAUAUCAAAACGUAACGUUUUCGACUAGAUGAAGAUUCGAACGCUCUUCUUCAUUAUUUUCAAUUCAUGACGAAGCAAGAUGGAGAAAAAGGUGGAAUAAAAUAUGAAAUCAAAACCUUAUAACCGAGCUUAUAAUCUGGAAAUCCAGGACCCUCUGGGCUCCCGGACCGUCAUCAUCCGCAGCUGGUUCUCUGGUGCUUCUGGUGCUCACGCAAAAAA